UAAACGCAUGAUCUGAACCGUCCGUGUUGUAGACAUCUAAGAAAAGUGGGCCGAAGUCCGAACAGAUUCUGACCAUCAUUGUAUGCAGAAAGUUAGAACAUUGAAACGGAAAAUGUCAAUGGAUCAUAUUCAUCUCCGAAAAUCAAAUGUCACAAUAGUUUCUUUAGAAUGAUUAUUGAACCGUGAACCCAUUCUUGAUAUUAAUAAGAAAGUGGACGGUUUAAAUCAUCACAAGAUCUCAGCAUGUGGGCCCAAUGGGGCGAAACAUGCUGGCAGCACUUUGUCGCGGGACAGGGAAUCGCUACUCCCCACUAUAAGUUCUCCCCCUCCGACCCUUAAAAUACCCCUUUCUUCUCUUUUUUUGUUUUUGUUUUUGUUUUUUAAUUUUCCCGCCUCUUGAUUUCCCUUCCGGGCCGGCUGCCAAACGCUCUCUCCUUUCCCUCUCUUCUCAAAAUCGAACAGAUCACGAUCGCAGUUCGCAGAAAAUUCCGGAAUAGCAUCUUCGAGGCCAAAUCUCCAGAGAUGCCAGGUGAAGAUCGCCACGAUCUCUGUGAUACUUGAAAGAUUUGGGUUUUUUCUCCCCAUUCGAGAGUAAAUUCUCCAAAAUCCGGUUUUCUUCGAAGUUCUCCCACCUCUUUCCAUAGAAGAUCGCAGAUCCGCUCUUUGAUUCUUUAAUUUCAGCGGUAGCAGGUCUUUCAUUGCUUGAUCUUCGAUCGGACGGCAGAUGGCGUGCGUUUGCAGAUCGGAAGAUCCAGAUCCGUCCUCGAAACUCCGAGAAGGUCCGGGAGAGAGACGAGAAGCGGUAACCGUUUUCUUGCCUAACGAAGAAGAGACGGCACCAGAAACGGAUGCGGAGUGCUGCUGUACGCCAACGGCGAAGGAAUGCAGGAUCCCUGAGACGGUGACGUGUCCUCCCGCGCCGAGGAAAAGGAGAGCUGAUCGGUUUUCGAGUCUUCCAUCCGUUCGGCCCAAGGAGUAUUUCGUGCCGCACAAUCUCGACGCGUUUUUCACUUCGGUGUCGGUCCCAAAGGCGAAGUAUUUUCGGUAAUUCUCUAGAGUUCCAGGGGUAUUUUGGUCCGUCGGUUGCAGAGAAUGUCGCAGUGCAGGAGGUGGGGAAAUGAGGAUUCGGAGGGCAUUUUCGUCUUUUCAAAGGACAGAUGAGGCGAAGAAAACAGAGGUUCAAAUGGCCGGUAGUUGCCGCUUAUGUCAGUUGAGUUCGUGUGGCGACGAAGCAUGUAAAGCAACACAUGUGAGGCAUUCCAUGUAAUAAACGGCGCUUAUAUUGCACUAAAGUCUGUUGUUUGAAAAAAUUUUAUACUCUGGCAAAGUGUGUUACAUGA